rnacentral:lncRNA from 1 species
CUCUAUCCCCAGCAGAGGCAGCGGAGAAGACAAGGCCGGGAGGCACCGGGCUAGGCUGCGCACCAGGCCCAGGCCUGUCCCUCGGGACCGCGCGUGCCGCCUGAAUCCGCUCCCCCGUCGGGCCCGGUCCAGCUGGCGCGGCGGCCACCCUCACCUGGAUGACCUCGUUGACCUCCCGGAUACAUUCCACCAUGUGUUGUAGAAUCUGCUCGGCCGUGAGCACCUCGUAGCGGUAAUCCUCCUCCUGCUCAUGCCCCGGCCCGCCACCACCACCGCCGCCGCCGCCGCCGCCGCCACCGCCGGGCCCCAGAGCGCUGCCGCCGCCACCGCCCGUCUCCCCGCACAGCAGUCCGUCCCGCUCCCCGCCGACGCCCAGCCCGGGCUCCACCAGCUCCACCUCGCCCAGAUCCAGGGUAUCAUCGUCCGGCUCGUCGUCGUCUUCGUCCUCCUCCUCCUCGGCGCCGCUGUCCUCCUCACUGCACUCCUCGUCCUCGUCGAACUCGUAGUUGUAGCCCUCGUCCGAGUCCAUGGCGCGACGCGCGGGGGCCCGGCGGACGCUGGCCGAGGCGGGGAGAGGGCGGGGACGCCGAGGCCCCGGCUCUCGCUCCGGCUCCGGCUGAUGUCCGGACGCAGGCCUGGCUCCGGCCCCGCGAGCCGCGGCUCCUCCCCAGGAGCGGCGGUUGGCGUUUGACGGCUGGUGGCGGCGGGGAGGGCGCGGAGGAGGGAGGGAGGGAGCGAGGGGGCCGCUUGCUGCCCGCCUCAGUCAGACGCGGCUCCGCUCCGGCCUCCGAGAGAAAACAGUCCCCAACGCCACCUCCACGGCCGCUGCUAUCGCUACUGAGCCAACAAAGGGGCGUGCGUCACCGCGUCGCGCUGCGUCGUCGCGUCACUCCUCUUUGCGUCACUGCGCCCCGCCCCACCGCCCCUGCGUGGAGCCCGGGGAGACCCCACGGCCCGGCCUUCCUGGGCCUGGGACCCGAGGGGAGCCGAGCGGGAAUUGCUUUCCUGGUUCGAUCCGCUGCCGCUGUGAGGGCCGAGCGGAAACCCGUAGACCUUUUAUGUGAAGAGAUUGCGGCCUCCUGGUCACCAGUCACCGAGAGAGGGACCCCUGGACCGCCUACGUGGUGGUGUCUGCCGCAGGCCAUAGGGAUCCAGCCCACUUAGGCAGUCCCUUGGGGACGCGGCCUUCCCUCCGGAGCGGAAAGGCGCUUCCCGCCCGCCCUGCGGUAAUCCCGGAAGCCCUCAGCCGUUAAGCUAAAAUUUCUGUUGCUUUGGCUACUGAUGGAAACCUGUUGUAAGUGGAACCUCUAAACUGUAUGACAGGUGAACCCAC